rnacentral:rRNA from 1 species
AACGAACGCUGGCGGCGUGCCUAACACAUGCAAGUCGAGCGCGAAAGUUCCUUCGGGAGCUAGUAGAGCGGCGGACGGGUGAGUAAUACAUAGGUAAUCUACCUUCGAGUUUGGGAUAACCCCGCGAAAGCGGGGCUAAUACCGGAUAAGACCACGUAACUUAUGUUGCGGGGUAAAAGGUGGCUUGUUUUUUAAACGAGCUAUCACUUGAUGAUGAGCCUAUGGCCUAUCAGCUUGUUGGCGGGGUAAGAGCCCACCAAGGCUAUGACGGGUAGCUGGUCUGAGAGGACGAUCAGCCACACUGGGACUGAGACACGGCCCAGACUCCUACGGGUGGCUG